rnacentral:rRNA from 1 species
GAUGAACGCUAGCGGCAGGCCUAAUACAUGCAAGUCGGACGGGAUUGAGGAGCUUGCUCUUCAUGAGAGUGGCGCACGGGUGCGUAACACGUAUGUAACCUACCUUUAUCAGGGGGAUAGCCUCUCGAAAGAGAGAUUAAGCCCGCAUAAAAUCACAGUGCAGCAUUGCACAAUGAUCAAAUAUUUAUAGGAUAAAGAUGGGCAUGCGGAACAUUAGCUAGUUGGCGGGGUAACGGCCCACCAAGGCUACGAUGUUUAGGGGAUCUGAGAGGAUGAC